rnacentral:lncRNA from 1 species
AAGGGGGAUGAUUUCCGAAAAUAAAAACAAACCAUGCCCUGAUCUAUUUGAACUGAUGCAAAGUGAAGUGAGAAGAACCAGAUCCCUGAACACAGUAACAGCAAUGCUGUAAUGAUGACCAACUGCUUAAAGACGUGGCUACUCUGACGAAUACUGUGAUUCAAGACAGUUCCAAAGGACUCCUGAUGAAAAAACGCGAUCCACCUCAAGAGAGAACUGGAAAAACCAAGUGGAUGAAGAAUUGCAAUUAUCCAAGCUAUGACACGCAGUUAUAGAAACAAGCCAGAGUGCUCAUUUGUCAAUAUCUAUGUGUUGGACAGACACUACAAAUGGACUGUAAGUUGGGUCCAGAAUCGAACAGGAGUUCUAACCAUGGGCUCCAAGAGAAUGAAACCAUUUUGGCCAAUGGACUAAACCAGUUGAGGGUGACCAACAGGUGAGUUCGAAGGAAAUCUACCCCAAGAAUGUGAAGA